CUACGUGCCAGCAGCCGCGGUAAUACGGAGGAUACGAGCGUUAUCCGGAAUUAUUGGGUUUAAAGGGUGCGUAGGUGGCGUAUUAAGUCAGUGGUGAAAAGCUGCAGCUCAACUGUAGUCUUGCCGUUGAAACUGAUAUGCUAGAGAGGAGACGAGGUAUGCGGAAUGUGUGGUGUAGCGGUGAAAUGCAUAGAUAUCACACAGAACGCCGAUUGCGAAGGCAGCGUACCAGGCUCCGUCUGACACUGAAGCACGAAAGCGUGAGGAUCAAACAGGAUUAGAUACCCUGGUAGUCCACGCAGUAAACGAUGAAUACUAGAUUUUUGCGAUAUAGUGUAAGAGUCUAAGCGAAAGCGAUAAGUAUUCCACCUGGGGAGUACGCCGGCAACGGUGAAACUCAAAGGAAUUGACGGGGGCCCGCACAAGCGGAGGAACAUGUGGUUUAAUUCGAUGAUACGCGAGGAACCUUACCCGGGAUUGAA
rnacentral:rRNA from 1 species